UGGGGAAUAUUGCACAAUGGGCGAAAGCCUGAUGCAGCGACGCCGCGUGAGCGAAGAAGUAUUUCGGUAUGUAAAGCUCUAUCAGCAGGGAAGAAAAUGACGGUACCUGACUAAGAAGCUCCGGCUAAAUACGUGCCAGCAGCCGCGGUAAUACGUAUGGAGCAAGCGUUAUCCGGAUUUACUGGGUGUAAAGGGAGCGUAGACGGCUUGGCAAGUCUGAUGUGAAAGGCCGGGGCUCAACCCCGGGACUGCAUUGGAAACUGUCAGGCUAGAGUGCCGGAGAGGUAAGCGGAAUUCCUAGUGUAGCGGUGAAAUGCGUAGAUAUUAGGAGGAACACCAGUGGCGAAGGCGGCUUACUGGACGGUAACUGACGUUGAGGCUCGAAAGCGUGGGGAGCAAACAGGAUUAGAUACCC
rnacentral:rRNA from 1 species